GUAUGGUGCAAGCGUUAUCCGGAUUUACUGGGUGUAAAGGGAGCGUAGACGGCUGUGUAAGUCUGAAGUGAAAGCCCGGGGGCUCAACCCCGGGACUGCCUUGGAAACUAUGCAGCUAGAGUGUCGGAGAGGUAAGUGGAAUUCCCAGUGUAGCGGUGAAAUGCGUAGAUAUUGGGAGGAACACCAGUGGCGAAGGCGGCUUACUGGACGAUGACUGACGUUGAGGCUCGAAAGCGUGGGGAGCAAACAGGAUUAGAUACCCUGGUAGUCCACGCCGUAAACGAUGACUACUAGGUGUCGGGGAGCAAAGCUCUUCGGUGCCGCAGCAAGCGCAAUAAGUAGUCCACCUGGGGAGUACGUUCGCAAGAAUG
rnacentral:rRNA from 1 species